AUGAACGCUGGCGGCGUGCCUAAUACAUGCAAGUCGAGCGAACGGACGAGAAGCUUGCUUCUCUGAUGUUAGCGGCGGCCGGGUGAGUAACACGUGGAUAACCUACCUAUAAGACUGGGAUAACUUCGGGAAACCGGAGCUAAUACCGGAUAAUAUUUUGAACCGCAUGGUUCAAAAGUGAAAGACGGUCUUGCUGUCACUUAUAGAUGGAUCCGCGCUGCAUUAGCUAGUUGGUAAGGUAACGGCUUACCAAGGCAACGAUGCAUAGCCGACCUGAGAGGGUGACCGGCCACACUGGAACUGAGACACGGUCCAGACUCCUACGGGAGGCAGCAGUAGGGAAUCUUCCGCAAUGGGCGAAAGCCUGACGGAGCAACGCCGCGUGAGUGAUGAAGGUCUUCGGAUCGUAAAACUCUGUUAUUAGGGAAGAACAUAUGUGUAAGUAACUGUGCACAUCUUGACGGUACCUAAUCAGAAAGCCACGGCUAACUACGUG
rnacentral:rRNA from 1 species